rnacentral:pre_miRNA from 1 species
AAAGCAUAUAUUGGGUUGUCGGUUUUCAUAAAAAAACAGUCUGGUUCAGCCAGUUCUAGCAGGUCUAAUUGCAUGGACUCUCUAUGAGGAAAUACGAUCCUGUGAGGGUGCUGGUUAGCUGCACCAAUGUGAUGGAGGCCCCAGCUGCAUAGCGCGCGACUCACGCCAGCAGCGAGCGCACUCUGGACCAUACAUCAGAUUCCACCACGAUGGCAAUGAGAAUGAUGACCCGGUGAAAUGACAAC